UGUCUGAGAAUAGACAUAAGGAUAGGU
rnacentral:piRNA from 1 species